rnacentral:lncRNA from 1 species
GUCACCUGUUCCCUGAAGGUUUCAUAAAAUUCACCUGAAAACCAGGGAAGCCUGGUAGCACUUGCUAAGACAUUCUUCUAUGAACUUACGGAAGACAAGAUAAAAUUCCCGCCUUGGUAUCCACAUGGAAUCCAGGAAACCUGUGCAUCUGAUGGUUUGAUACACCCUUUUGUCAUCAAUUCUUAGUUACUAUGCAUAGUCUACUGAUAAUUGUUCAUUGUGUACUUUUCGUUACUUAAAAUUCUUCAAAUCACCCUAAGACAUUUACUCCAGAGCAAUUGGCCAUGACCUGAAGAUCUACAAGCUCAUACAAACAUCUUCCUACAGCUCGUACAAAGAGUCCUGUGAGAUGCCACCAAUUGUAUCAGAUUCCCCACCUUAGGAAUCAACUCAUAUCUAUAUUAUACCAUCC